GGAGUUAGCCGGUGCUUCUUCUGUGAGUGAUGUCCUUCCUGCCGGCUAUUAACCAGCAGGCCUUCUUCCUCACUGAAAGUGCUUUACAACCCGAAGGCCUUCUUCACACACGCGGCAUGGCUGGAUCAGGGUUGCCCCCAUUGUCCAAUAUUCCCCACUGCUGCCUCCCGUAGGAGUCUGGGCCGUGUCUCAGUCCCAGUGUGGCUGAUCAUCCUCUCAGACCAGCUACGGAUCGUCGCCUUGGUGAGCCGUUACCUCACCAACCAGCUAAUCCGACAUAGGCUCAUCCGAUAGCGCGAGGCCCGAAGGUCCCCCGCUUUCCCCCGUAGGGCGUAUGCGGUAUUAGCCUGGGUUUCCCCAGGUUAUCCCCCACUACCGGGCAGAUUCCUAUGCAUUACUCACCCGUCCGCCGCUCGCCACCAGGGAGCAAGCUCCCCGUGCUGCCGCUCGACUUGCAUGUGUUAGGCCUGCCGCCAGCGUUCAAUCUGAGCCAGGAUCAAACUCUGA
rnacentral:rRNA from 1 species